rnacentral:rRNA from 1 species
UUGCCUCAGUAACGGCGAGUGAAGCGGCAACAGCUCAAAUUUGAAAUCUGGUCCUUUCAGGGCCCGAGUUGUAAUUUGUAGAAGAUGCUUCGGGUGUGGCUCCGGUCUAAGUCCCUUGGAACAGGGCGUCAUAGAGGGUGAGAAUCCCGUAUGUGACUGGCUGCCUCCGCCCAUGUGAAGCUCUUUCGACGAGUCGAGUUGUUUGGGAAUGCAGCUCAAAAUGGGUGGUAAAUUUCAUCUAAAGCUAAAUAUUGGCCAGAGACCGAUAGCGCACAAGUAGAGUGAUCGAAAGAUGAAAAGCACUUUGGAAAGAGAGUUAAACAGUACGUGAAAUUGUUGAAAGGGAAGCGCUUGCAAUCAGACUUGCGCGCCGUCGAUCAUCCGCGGUUCUCCGUGGUGCACUCGGCGGCGCUCAGGCCCGCAUCGGUUUCGGUGGUCGGAUAAAGGCCUUGGGAAUGUGGCUCCUCUCGGGGAGUGUUAUAGCCCUCGGUGCAAUGCGGCCUACCGGGACCGAGGACCGCGCUUCGGCUAGGAUGCGGGCGUAAUGGUUGCAAGCGACCCGUCUUGAAACACGGACCAAGGAGUCUAACACUUAUGCGAGUGUUUGGGUGUCAAACCCAUACGCGUAAUGAAAGUGAACGGAGGUGAGAACCCUUAAGGGUGCAUCAUCGACCGGUCCUGAAGUUUACGGACGGAUCUGAGUAAGAGCAUAAUUGUUGGGACCCGAAAGAUGGUGAACUAUGCCUGAAUAGGGUGAAGCCAGAGGAAACUCUGGUGGAGGCUCGCAGCGGUUCUGACGUGCAAAUCGAUCGUCAAAUUUGGGUAUAGGGGCGAAAGACUAAUCGAACCAUCUAGUAGCUGGUUCCUGCGA